CCUGUCCCCAGAGGGGACAGGUGCGGCUGCCCUGUCACAGGUGCUUCAGCAGGUGGCAGAGAGGGGUAAGGCCGUGUCCACACUCAGUGUGCUCACCUGUGAACAUCGGAAUGAUCAGUAGCCUGUCAUU